GUACAGGUAUUGGAUAUGGGUACAGGUCUUGGUAUGGGUUCAGGUGAUGGAUAUGGGUUCAGGUAUUGGAUAUGGGUACAGGUCUUGGUAUGGGUUCAGGUGUUGGAUAUGUGUUCAGGAUGUGGUUACAGGUACAGGCUUUGGAUACGGGUACAGGUCUUGGUAUGGGUUCAGGAUUUGGGAAUGGGUACAGGUUGUGGUUAUGGGUACAGGCACUGGAUAUGGGUAUAGGUAUUGGAUAUGGGUACAGGUCUUGGUAUGGGUUCAGGUGAUGGAUAUGGGUACAGGUCUUAGUAUGGGUUCAGGUGUUGGAUAUGGGUUCAGGGUGUGGUUACAGGUACAGCCUUUGGAUAUGGGUACAGGUCUUGGUAUGGGUUCAGGUGAUGGAUUUGGGUUCAGGAUUUGGGAAUGGGUACAGGAAUUGGAUAUGGGUACAGGUGCUGG